ensembl:lncRNA
GGGGAUGAGGUGUGAAGAGAGACUGCGCAUGUGCAUGAAUACCACAAGACAUUUUGCCGCCAGUUCAGUUUGUUCAAAGCUUGUUCCACUGGGAAAGGGAGUGGGAUAGAUGUGUCAGAGUGAGAGAGUGAGAGUGAGAGAGUGAGAGAGAGAGAGAGAGAGAGAGAGAGAGAGAGAGAGAGAGAGAGAGAGAGAGAGAGAGAGAAAAGUCCUUGAUAGAAGAAAAGAAAAAAACAACAACUGAAUGAUGACGGAAGGCUUUUACCUCUGGGAGUUGCUUUGCUUGACUUUCAGAAAGAAGAAGGGGAAUGGAGUGGAGUGGAGUGGAGAAAUGGAAGAGAGGAAGAGUUGUGAGUGUUUUUUGGCAAGUCGGAUGAAAAGUAACAGACCAGAGAAGGGACAGAGAAGAUGAGAGGAAAACACCAAGCACAAGACAGGACAGGAUGUUUACAGGAAAAACAAGGGUGCAGCUUUCCACACGUUCAUUACAUUGACUUCUGACUUCUGUCAAUCAAAGCUUCUACCUUUCUAUGGAGUGUUGUCUGUUGAAGAAGAAUCUUCCAGCCUUUUAGGUUUUUAUUUUCACGUCUUUUUUAUUUGUACUUUUUGAAGUUGUGGAUGUACAGUAUUUUGGUGUACAGUGACAGUACAGUACAGUACAGUACAGUGACAGUACAGUACAGUACAGUACAGUACAGUACAGUACAGUACAGUACAGUACAGUACAGUACAGUACAGUACAGUACAGUGACAGUACAGUGCAGUGACAGUAAAGUACAGUGACAGUACAGUGACAGUACAGUGACAGUACAGUACAGUACAGUGACAGUACAGUGACAGUGACAGUACAGUACAGUACAGUACAGUACAGUACAGUACAGUGCAGUGACAGUACAAUACGGUGACAGUACAGUACAGUGACAGUACAGUGACAGUACAGUACAGUGACAGUACAGUGACAGUGACAGUACAGUACAGUGACAGUACAGUACAGUGACAGUACAGUGACAGUGACAGUACAAUACAGUGACAGUGACAGUGACAGUACAGUGACAGUACAGUGACAGUACAGUGACAGUACAGUACAGUGACUGUACAGUGACAGUACAAUACAGUGACAGUACAAUACAGUGACAGUACAGUGACGGUACAGUGACAGUACAGUACAGUGACAGUACAGUACAUUACAGUGACAGUACAUUGACAGUACAGUGGCAGUAGAGUACAGUGACAGUACAGUACAGUGACAGUACAGUGACAGUACAGUGACAGUACAGUACAGUGCAGUGACAGUACAGUGCAGUGACUGACAGUACAGUGACAGUACAAUACGGUGACAGUACAGUACAGUGACAGUACAGUGACAGUGACAGUACAAUACGGUGAAAGUACAGUACAGUGACAGUACAGUGCAGUGACAGUACAGUGCAGUGACAGUACAGUGCAGUGACAUACAGUACAGUGCAGUGACAGUACAGUGCAGUGACAGUGACAGUACAGUGACAGUACACGGUGACAGUACAGUACAGUGACAGUACAGUGACAGUGACAGUACAAUACGGUGAAAGUACAGUACAGUGACAGUACAGUGCAGUGACAGUACAGUGCAGUGACAGUACAGUGCAGUGACAUGACAGUACAGUGACAGUGACAGUACAGUGACAGUACAGUACAGUGACAG